rnacentral:rRNA from 1 species
AGAGUUUGAUCCUGGCUCAGGACGAACGCUGGCGGCGUGCCUAAUACAUGCAAGUCGAGCGAAUCAAUAGGAGCUUGCUCCUGUUGGUUAGCGGCGGACGGGUGAGUAACACGUGGGCAACCUGCCUGUAAGACUGGGAUAACACCGGGAAACCGGUGCUAAUACCGGAUAAUUCUUUUCCUCUCAUGAGGGAAAGCUGAAAGUCGGUUUUUAGCUGACACUUACAGAUGGGCCCGCGGCGCAUUAGCUAGUUGGUGAGGUAACGGCUCACCAAGGCGACGAUGCGUAGCCGACCUGAGAGGGUGAUCGGCCACACUGGGACUGAGACACGGCCCAGACUCCUACGGGAGGCAGCAGUAGGGAAUCUUCCGCAAUGGACGAAAGUCUGACGGAGCAACGCCGCGUGAGUGAUGAAGGCCUUCGGGUCGUAAAACUCUGUUGUCAGGGAAGAACAAGUACCGGAGUCGCUGCCGGUACCUUGACGGUACCUGACCAGAAAGCCACGGCUAACUACGUGCCAGCAGCCGCGGUAAUACGUAGGUGGCAAGCGUUGUCCGGAAUUAUUGGGCGUAAAGCGCGCGCAGGCGGUCCUUUAAGUCUGAUGUGAAAGCCCACGGCUCAACCGUGGAGGGUCAUUGGAAACUGGGGGACUUGAGUGCAGAAGAGGAAAGCGGAAUUCCACGUGUAGCGGUGAAAUGCGUAGAGAUGUGGAGGAUCACCAGUGGCGAAGGCGGCUUUCUGGUCUGUAAC